AAUCGGGAACCGGUUACACACGGUCGGCAAGAUAUAUUUCCUAGCUAAGAUUUCCUGUGGCAACGGCCACAUUUAAUUUUGUCUACUGAAUAAUUGGUUUGAGUCAGAAGAUAGGAUGAGAAUGCCUAUAGAUGGGUCUCCCAUAUUCAAUUGAAUCAAUUCUGUCUGAAGAUUGUCUAAAAUCUCAAAUUUAUAAACCCAUUUUCUCUGGCACGAAGCCUCCUCACUAGCAAUUACGUUUCUCUCUCCACUCUCAUUAUCACUUCCUCUCUUCAGUAAAACUCACCUAUCCUCUCCCUUUGUCUCAUCCAAAAAAAAAAAAACCACCAUUACCAUCUUUUCCGUUUCCUUCGCCGUCGUACGAUUCCACCUGAUCAGCCAUCUCCGUCCCUGGUGAACACUAAACCUUCGACAACCCCCAUCCUGGCAGUUCACUCUUUUCCUUAGGUUCCAACGUUAAUAAUUAAGUUUGUACGUGUGUUAGCUUGUGGUUCACGCUACAGAGGUGAGUUACGAAUAUACCCUGGUUACAUAACUUUUAUGAAAUGCUUUUAAAUUGCAUUUAUUGAAUGUAUAGAUAUAAAAGGAUGAGUUUACGAAAAUAGACGUCUUGUACGGAAGCGUCAUAUUGCAUAAUGAGCAUAAUUUGAGAUGAUAUUUCAAGAUGAGCAUGGGAUGAGUUUUAAAAGAAAGAACGAAAUGAUUUACUGUGUUGAAACAUCUGGGUGAUGAUUUGGCGCCCAAAGUGAUAAAGGAUGUAGCCGGGUAUCCUAUGGACUUGAUAUCAUUUCCCAAAAGGCGGGGUCGUUCCCCCAAACAGUUGCUGGUGUUCCACCCGUUAAAGAUGUAUAAUUCGACAGUAACGGUUUGCAGUUUCGAGCCUGAAAACUUGCAUUUAAUUUAUUAUUGAACAAAUUCCUUUGAGAUA